UACGAAGGGAGCUAGCGUUGCUCGGAAUUACUGGGCGUAAAGCGCACGUAGGCGGCUUUCUAAGUCGGGGGUGAAAUCCUGGAGCUCAACUCCAGAACUGCCUUCGAUACUGGAGAGCUUGAGUCCGGGAGAGGUGAGUGGAACUGCGAGUGUAGAGGUGAAAUUCGUAGAUAUUCGCAAGAACACCAGUGGCGAAGGCGGCUCACUGGCCCGGUACUGACGCUGAGGUGCGAAAGCGUGGGGAGCAAACAGG
rnacentral:rRNA from 1 species